AUUGAACGCUGGCGGAAUGCUUUACACAUGCAAGUCGAACGGCAGCACGGGGGCAACCCUGGUGGCGAGUGGCGAACGGGUGAGUAAUACAUCGGAACGUGCCCAGUCGUGGGGGAUAACGUAGCGAAAGCUACGCUAAUACCGCACACGAUCUACGGAUGAAAGCGGGGGAUCGCAAGACCUCGCGCGAUUGGAGCGGCCGAUGGCAGAUUAGGUAGUUGGUGGGGUAAAGGCUCACCAAGCCGACGAUCUGUAGCUGGUCUGAGAGGACGACCAGCCACACUGGGACUGAGACACGGCCCAGACUCCUACGGGAGGCAGCAGUGGGGAAUUUUGGACAAUGGGCGCAAGCCUGAUCCAGCCAUUCCGCGUGCAGGAUGAAGGCCUUCGGGUUGUAAACUGCUUUUGUACGGAACGAAACGGUUCUCUCUAAUACAGGGGGCUAAUGACGGUACCGUAAGAAUAAGCACCGGCUAACUACGUGCCAGCCGCCGCGGUAAAAC
rnacentral:rRNA from 1 species